rnacentral:rRNA from 1 species
GAUGAACGCUGGCGGCGUGCCUAAUACAUGCAAGUCGAGCGAACGGACGAGAAGCUUGCUUCUCUGAUGUUAGCGGCGGACGGGUGAGUAACACGUGGAUAACCUACCUAUAAGACUGGGAUAACUUCGGGAAACCGGAGCUAAUACCGGAUGAUAUUUUGAACCGCAUGGUUCAAAAGUGAAAGACGGUCUUGCUGUCACUUAUAGAUGGAUCCGCGCUGCAUUAGCUAGUUGGUAAGGUAACGGCUUACCAAGGCAACGAUGCAUAGCCGACCUGAGAGGGUGAUCCGCCACACUGGAACUGAGACACGGUCCAGACUCCUACGGGAGGCAGCAGUAGGGAAUCUUCCGCAAUGGGCGAAAGCCUGACGUAGCAACGCCGCGUGAGUGAUGAAGGUCUUCGGAUCGUAAAACUCUGUUAUUAGGGAAGAACAUAUGUGUAAGUAACUGUGCACAUCUUGACGGUACCUAAUCAGAAAGCCACGGCUAACUACGUG